rnacentral:rRNA from 2 species
CACGUAGGGACCAAGCGUUGUCCGGAUUUAUUGGGCGUAAAGAGCUCGUAGGCGGUUCGGUAAGUCGGGUGUGAAAACUCUGGGCUCAACUCGGAGAGGCCACCCGAUACUGCCGUGACUUGAGUCCGGUAGGGGAGCACGGAAUUCCUGGUGUAGCGGUGAAAUGCGCAGAUAUCAGGAGGAACACCGGUGGCGAAGGCGGUGCUCUGGGCCGGUACUGACGCUGAGGAGCGAAAGCGUGGGUAGCAAACAGG